UUUUUUUCCCACUGCUUCAUCGUACCAGAGUGCUAACCAAAUAGACGGGUAGAGUACUGACAAUAAAUUAUUUUUUUUUAGGUAGUUAGGAAGUGAAUUCCAAUAGUUAAUGCUGUUCAAGGAAUGAUUAGGUAUUUAGACACAGCCAAAGGAGGUGAUGGAUCGACGUGCAUAAAAAAAUGGUGCGCGGAGGUCCACACAGGAGGCCUACCAUGGGGAGGGAGUGGUUCGUGUUCAGGUGUACGGAGGCUGGAACGAAAUGGAAAGGUUUUGGUGGUGCCGCCGGGUAAUCGGGCAUCCUGUUUGACGAGCACAGCAGCGGAAUGGGAAGGCAUGUUGUUCGGUGAGUGGCAGGCGACGCAGGGAAUAUGUUCGAUGAAAUGUUCGAGAGAGAUGUAACUUCACCGGAGUUCGGUAGUAGUCUUGGCAUUUCUCGGUGGCUGGCAGAUGAGGUUGAGAUGGGCCUCGAGCCGGUGGGGGUCAUGCCAUGACGUAACCCAAU
rnacentral:lncRNA from 1 species